rnacentral:rRNA from 1 species
UACGGAGGGUGCAAGCGUUAUCCGGAUUUACUGGGUUUAAAGGGUGCGUAGGUGGGUCGGAAAGUCAGUGGUGAAAUCUUCGGGCUUAACCCGGAAACUGCCAUUGAUACUAUUUAUCUUGAAUACUUUGGAGGUAAGCGGAAUAUGUCAUGUAGCGGUGAAAUGCUUAGAUAUGACAUAGAACACCAAUUGCGAAGGCAGCUUACUAGACAGUUAUUGACACUGAGGCACGAAAGCGUGGGGAGCGAGCCGG